UUGGUAUUUCAAAAUAUCGCUAUUAGGGUCCCAAAAAAUACCAAGAGUUUUAAGGGUUUUAUCGUUACUAAUAAAGAAGUUAGGCAGAUUGUAAAUGCUAUUUUUCGAAGUUUCCAAAAUUUCUUUGUCAUUAGAAGCCCAUUUUCUAAGAAUAAAUCCUGCACUUUCCAGAAUUUGAAAAAUCUCGUUUUUUGUUCGAAUAGCUUCAGAUCUAGUAGAAGUUCCUGAGAUUAGGUCAUCUACGUAGAAAUCUCUAAGUAUAAUCUUACACGCGUCAGGAAAUUUAUCCAUAUUCUUAUAGGCUAACUGAUGUAAACACCUGUUGGUAAGAAAUGAUGCCGGAGCAGUGCCGUAUGUCACGGUGUUAAGAGUGUAGGUUUGGAGCUCUUUCUCGUGACUAAAACGCCAGAGAAUUUGUUGAAGAUUGCGAUCUUUGUUUGAUACCUCAACCAUGCGAUACAUUUAUUCAAUGUCGCUGGUUAUUACAUAGUUGUGUACUCGAAAACGUAAAAUUAUAGGCAGGAGAUCUUCCUGAAUCGUAGGGCCAACCUUUAGGAUAUCGUUUAAAGACACCCCUGAAGUGGUUUUUGUGGAAGCGUCGAAUACCACACGACACUUUGUCGUUUGACUUGUUUCUUUCAAGACACAAUGGUGGGGAAGAAAAUAAAUAAUUUCAUUGGGAUUCGAUUCAUUUUUUAAAGACAUAUGACCCAAGGAGAUAUACUCUUUCAUAAAAGAGGCAUAUUGCUCGCGCAAUAGGGAGUUUUUAUUGAGCCUUUUUUCAAGUCCAUAAAAACGUUUAAUGGCAGUUUCCUUUGAGCCUCCCAGAAUUGAUACAUCUUGCUUAAAUGGUAAACUCACAACAAAGCGUCUAGUUUCGUCACGCAUAAAGGUAUUGCAAAAGUGUUCUUCGCAUUCGGACUCUUCGCGGGAAUACCUUGUGAUUUUGCUCGAACAGUUCUCCAGUUCCCAGAACCAUUCGAGUUGAUUUUCAAUGUUUUUGUUGGAGACAUUUAAAUUGCAACUGGUAGAUAAAGAAUUAACCGAAAGGAGGGAGUUAGUUGUAAUUAAAGGCAAUGGUCCAGAAACAAUCCAGCCAAGAUGGGUUUUCUGUAGGAUUGGCAUAUUUUCGCCUAGUCUGAUUUGGCCAACACAUAAUAGGGAGUAAAAAAUGCCAGCACCUAACAAAAGCUCGAUGGGACCAUGCUUAUCAAAAUUGACAUCGGCCAAUUUAAUAUCUUGGGGAAUAGAUAGGACAUUAUUUUUGAUAGAAAUGCUCGGUAAGUUUUCAGUGAUCUUUUUUAUCAACAAAAAAUCAAGAUUAGCUUCAUAACCGUUGUACACCGAUUUUAUAGUCGCUGUCAAAGAAUGCUUUAUAUUAAUUAGAUUUUGACUUAUGCCACUGACAGGUAAAUUUAUUUUGUUUAGCUUCAAGUCUAACUUGUUGGCUAAGUCAUAGGUUAUGUAGUUGCUUUGCGAGCCAGAAUCCAAUAAAACACGACAUAAAAUGGACUCGCCAGCUUGGUUAAAAAUACAGACAUUGGCUGUGGAUAGUAAGACGUGUGAAAAUAUUUUUCUCGAUACGCCAGUCACGAUUAAGGCUUAUAGGUUGCGAAUCGCACAAUAUGGGAUCACUAGAGUUUUCAAUCGAUAAAUUGGAUUGAGGCACACCAGAAGAGGUUUGUGGCCCAACGUGGGGUUCGAAAUGCAGCAGGGUGUGAUGCCUUUUAUUACAUUUUCUGCAACUUGACGAACGGCACUCACUCGAAAUAUGAUUGUUUCUUAAGCAAUUAAGGCAAAUAUGGAGUUUUUUAACUUGGUUUAAUCGAUUUUGUGGGGAAAGGUCAAGAAAAUCUUUGCAUUGAUUAAGCCAAUGCGUGCCUUUACAAUAAAAGCAUUUGGCCCCUGAGGCAUUGGAAACGUGCGAGAAAACCCUUUGCUUAGGCGUAGAACUUGGUGCGAAAUAUUUCCAGCUAUCAUGCACAAGUGUUUCCAACAUUUGACAUUUCUUAUUCAAAAAAUCAACAAGUUCUUGAAAAUUUGGUAAAUUUGGGUCCUUUAUGGAACACUCCCACUCUCUUCUGGUGUUGUUGUCAAGUUUAUGAUUGAUUAAAUAUAUUAAGAUUGAAUCCCACUUGCUUACGGGUUGUCCGAGAGCUUCAAGGGAUCGUACAUUUUUUAGCACUGAAUCUAGAAUAUUACGCAAUCCAUCUUUGGACUCACGGUUUAAUGAUUGGAUGUCAAAAAUAGCCUUGAUGUGGCUGUUGAUAAUAAUUCGCUGAUUCUGAUACCUAUCACAGAGAAGUUUCCAAGCAAUAGAGUAGUUUUGAUCACUUAUUUGUAUUGAUUGAAUGGUUUGUAAGGCUUCGCCCUUAAGGGAAGAUUGUAAGUAAUAAAAUUUUUGGGUCGGUGCUAGGGUUUUAUUGUCAUGGAUAAGUGUGAUGAUAAGAUAAGAUUUGGCACGAGAAACACUAUCAUAAUAUUUGUUUUCAAAAUCUUCCCUUUCAGUCUCAUAAUCUGACUCAACCGCUAAAAACUCCAAUUGGGUUAGACAUUCAUCAUAGUCAUAGAGCAAAACCGAUUCUACCUACUCAAGACGAGCAGAUAAAUCACUUAGGUCAUGUUCGGGCUUAAAACUAUGUAAAUAAUUAGAAAAUCGCGUAAGCUUUCCCUUUAGAUUUUUCGCUUUGAUUUUAAAAAGUUUAACGGGAUCCUCUGUCAUUGUGUAUAAAUUGUCGGUAAAAAUAGAAAAGAAAAGAUCAAUCAAAAAACAUUAAGAGUAUUAAUACAUAAUAAAUAUGUCAAUAGAUUAAUAGAUAUUUACCAUAUACCAUAUACCUAUUCGGCCACAAAACAUCUAGUAACUCUUAGCAUCAACUCGAGUAAAAAAUAGUAAAACACAGGUAAAUAUCUUUAUUUAGGGUUUAGGGUAAACACCGCAUGAAAUAGGUAAAUCCAUUUAUUAGUUUCGGUUCAAUAGCUGUAAGCAAUAAAUAAACAACAUCUGUGAUACAACGAACCACUUACAACGUCAGUCUUAGUACGAGCCUUUAGUAAUUUGUAUCCAUUUAUACGCCCAUCCCUAGUAAUCAGCUGCUUAGAGCGAAUAUUUGGUUGGUUAUUAGGUGUCGUUAUAGAUGGCGCACUCAUAUAAUAAUUUUGCACACACACACAAAAAUAAGAAUAUUGGCUUUAGAUUUUCACUUUACCGCUGUUUAGUUGGGUAAAAUAAAAAAAAAUAUAUAGUUUUUCACUAGUUCACUCAACAAAAAAUCGCGAACCCACUCAGUACGGUAGCAAGUUUAAAGCAUAAAAAUAUAGGAUAUCAUAUAACUCCAAACAAUAUUAGAGCCCAAGAAAAAUCUAUAAAAUUCGUAAAAUCGGUUGAGCAGCAAAACUCGAUAAUAAAUUCGAUAGCGUAAAAACAGUAUCGAUAUUUGACAAACGUAAAAUACAAGGAUCGGUAAACUAUCGCAACUCGGUAAAUAGGCCUAGGGUAUUCGAAAAUCAAACAAAAUAUCGAUCUAAAGUGUUAAAUUAAUAUCGAUUUAGAGGGUCUACGCAUAAAUAAGUAGUCGCUUGUCAAGAUUCAAAAAACAUUCGAGACUAGAGCAGCAAAAAAAAUGUAUUUAAACAAAUCCCAUUCAAGUGCUCUCCGUUUAGCUUGUGUAAAAAUAUCGUUUUGAUAAGGAAUGCAAUAAUGAAUAAAUUACUAGAUAAAUAUCGAUCAAAAAUCGGUAGGUAAACCCUAAAUACGAAACAGACAAGAGUAAAAAUAGCAAUACAAAGUGAUUGUUAGCGGUUUUAGCAGGCAAAAAAGGAAAAUAUUGGUGAAAAGGAACAAACUCACCAAAUUGCGCUGUUUGAUCUCGAGUCUCGGCUGGUCGUUUAUGCUGCAAGAUGGCUACCUAACGACGUUCCAAUUUCCGCUUGAAAAAAUGCCGGCUUUUUCGUGUAUGCGGCGACGAAGGACCAUAAAAUUGUUGGGAAUCAAUCACUAACCCCAAUUAUUAUCACUAAUAGUCGUGGACUUUAUUAAAUCAAAAUUUCAAGACUGUAAACCAUAAAAUUAUAAAUAGAAAAAAUAAACUGAAUUGUUCUUGGUAACAUCUCUCGUCUGUCUCUCCAGCCUUGGGACUCCGUGUAUUGUGGAAAUCUACACGUCGCUUGCUACAGUUGAUAUCAACUGUUUUGGCGAAAGUCGCCAAGUUCGUAACUUCGUGUCACAGUCGCCGGCCGUUCGUGUAUUUUCGGUAAAUUACCAUCGGAAUGAAAAACAUCGCCUAAGAUUCUGGUGAUUUCUAAGGAUUUUUUAUUUUAUUUAGGGGAUUUUUCUACCAAAGGUGCAAGCCAAAGCAUAUGAUUUUUGUUUUUGUUUUGUCUUCGGUGUGUUCUUAUCCCAUAUUAUUAUUAUUAUAAAAAAAUAUUAAAAAUAUUAUACUGUUUUGGUGAAUUUUGUUUUUUUUUAUAUAAAAGAGUAUUUAAUUUUUUGAGGCCUUAAUUUUCUUAAAAUGUUGCCUAUAAAUGUGGCAAACAUAUUAGCUGCUGAGGAGGAAGAGAGGCUGGAGGAUUUGCGUUUAGCUAAUUUAGAAAGGAGAAAUAUGAGGGAAGAAAGUGAUCCUUUUUCUAUUGAGGAAACUAGAUUCAAAGAACUAUUUAGAAUAAAUAAAGAUAUGGCCCGGUUCUUGUUGAAUGGUAUUUUGGCUGACCUAGAGAGGGGUAAUAACCCUGUAGCAGUGCCCAGUCAUAUUAAAUUUUUUGAAACCCUUGCUUUUUAUGCUACGGGAUCCUAUCAAAGGGUUUUAGGUCGUAGCCAUGACAUUUCGGUUUCACAGCAAACCAUGUCAAAGGCAAUUCAUGAAAUAACGACUGCUCUAGUAAAUACAUUUGCUGGACAAUUCAUUAAAUUCCCACAAAAUCGCCAGGAAAAAAUUAUGUUAAGGAAGUUUUUAUGGCAAGCAGAGGUUUUCCAGGAGUGAUAGGUGCCAUUGACUGUACCCAUGUGGAGAUUAUCAGACCCCAAAUAGAAGAACACAACUAUUUGAACAGGAAAGGAUAUCACUCCAAAAAUAUCCAAAUUAUUUGUGAUCAUAACUUACGAAUAUUAAAUAUAAAUGCUCAAUAUGCUGGGGCUACACAUGAUGCCUACAUUUGGCGACAGUCAAGGGUAAGAGCUGUACUAGAAGCUGAAUACUUAAGAGGUGACAGAAAUUCAUGGUUGCUCGGGGAUUCAGGGUAUCCUCAGGAGCCUUGGCUUAUGACUCCUAUAGAGAAUGCAUUGCCUGAGUCUCCUGAAGGCAGAUAUACACAGGCCCAUAUACAAACAAGAAACUGCGUGGAGAGAUGCAUUGGUGUCUUAAAGGGUCGGUUUUUGUGCCUUUCUAAAGUUUUAAGAUAUUCUCCUAAAAUGCUGGGGCAGAUUCUUAAUGCUUGUGGGAUUCUCCAUAAUCUCUGUGUGGACGCCAGAUUGGGAAUUGAUUUUAAAGUUCCACAGCCUCAAGAGCCAAUUUAUGCCAUGGUUCCCAAUAAUGUUGCCGCCAACAAUCAAGAAGGGAAUAACGCAAGAAGAAAUCUCAUUAAUCUUUACUUUAGAAAUUAA